AUUGAACGCUGGCGGCAUGCCUUACACAUGCAAGUCGAACGGUAACGCGGGGCAACCUGGCGACGAGUGGCGAACGGGUGAGUAAUGCAUCGGAACGUGCCCGGUAGUGGGGGAUAACUGCUCGAAAGAGCAGCUAAUACCGCAUACGACCUGAGGGUGAAAGGGGGGGAUCGCAAGACCUCUCGCUAUCGGAGCGGCCGAUGUCGGAUUAGCUAGUUGGUGGGGUAAAGGCCUACCAAGGCGACGAUCCGUAGCUGGUCUGAGAGGACGACCAGCCACACUGGGACUGAGACACGGCCCAGACUCCUACGGGAGGCAGCAGUGGGGAAUUUUGGACAAUGGACGCAAGUCUGAUCCAGCCAUGCCGCGUGCGGGAAGAAGGCCUUCGGGUUGUAAACCGCUUUUGUCAGGGAAGAAAUCUUCUGAGUUAAUACCUCGGGAGGAUGACGGUACCUGAAGAAUAAGCACCGGCUAACUACGUGCCAGCAGCCGCGGUAAUAC
rnacentral:rRNA from 1 species